UUUCCGUAGGUGAACCUGCGGAAGGAUCAUUAUUGUAUAACCGAGGUGCGAGGGCUGUCGCUGACCCGAAAGGUCGUGCACGCCCGAGUGCCCUCACACACAUCCAUCUCACCCCUAUGUGCACCACCGCGUGGGUCCCCCUUUGGCUUGUUCGGAGGGGGGCUUACGUUUUCACACAAACUUUGUAUGCAGUGUAGAAUGUAUUUUUUGUUUUUGCGAUCACGCAAUCAAUACAACUCUCAACAACGGAUCUCUUGGCUCUCGCAUCGAUGAGAACGCAGC
rnacentral:misc_RNA from 1 species